UAGAAAGAAAGAACGAAUGGGCCGACGCCACAGGUCUCUGUCCUUGCUGCUGCUACAGGAGGGUCUUUCUUGCAGCACAACUGCGUUCCCCUCGACGACGCGCCGAGCUCCGGCGAGCGGAAGGCGGACGCAGGAGGUUGCUUCUGCCUUAUCGCGAGCUAACAGGCCCAAGUAGGCGGCGGCAAGAAUCUCCUGGGACGGCAGAGCUUCGUAGGCAGACAGCGCGGGGCAGAGGAGAGGAGCACCAAGGUCAGGCGCCUGCCGUCGGAGGCGAUGGCGAGGCUCCGAUCCAUGAGGCAGCUGCUCUUGAUUGCAACAUCUGCUAGUUCCUUGCUGGAUGAAUGAUCUCAUCAUCCAAGCCCCUUCUUUAUCUGCAUUUCGGUUGGGGAUCAAUACAUCUCCUCAGCGACACCGACAGGCAUCUGCCAAGCGUCGCAAUGAGUAAUAUCAGAGCAUCAUCAACCAAAUGUUCCUCGAGAAAAACUCGUAUCAGCCAACAGGUCAUACUUAAGCAUAAAUGUAUCAAAGUACAAGGCUAAAAAAUGAGCUGGCUUCUGAAA